rnacentral:tRNA from 1 species
GGUCGCGUGGCCUAAUGGCUAAGGCGCUAGAUUUCGGUCCUUGCUCCGAGCCCUCUAGAGAUUCCAGGUUCGACUCCUGGCGUGAUCG